rnacentral:rRNA from 1 species
GAAAGACAUCACUCGCAGAAGAAGCACGGCUACUCCGUGCCAGCAGCCGCGUAAUACGGAGGGUGCAAGCGUUAAUCGGAAUUACUGGGCGUAAAGCGCGCGUAGGUGGCUUGAUAAGCCGGUUGUGAAAGCCCCGGGCUCAACCUGGGAACGGCAUCCGGAACUGUCAAGCUAGAGUGCAGGAGAGGAAGGUAGAAUUCCCGGUGUAGCGGUGAAAUGCGUAGAGAUCGGGAGGAAUACCAGUGGCGAAGGCGGCCUUCUGGACUGACACUGACACUGAGGUGCGAAAGCGUGGGUAGCAAACAGGAUUAGAUACCCUGGUAGUCCACGCCGUAAACGAUGUCGACCAGCCGUUGGGUGCCUAGCGCACUUUGUGGCGAAGUUAACGCGAUAAGUCGACCGCCUGGGGAGUACGGCCGCAAGGUUAAAACUCAAAUGAAUUGACGGGGGCCCGCACAAGCGGUGGAGCAUGUGGUUUAAUUCGAUGCAACGCGAAGAACCUUACCUACUCUUGACAUCCUGCGAAUUCGGUAGAGAUACCUUAGUGCCUUCGGGAACGCAGAGACAGGUGCUGCAUGGCUGUCGUCAGCUCGUGUUGUGAAAUGUUGGGUUAAGUCCCGUAACGAGCGCAACCCUUGUCCUUAUUUGCCAGCACGUAAUGGUGGGAACUCUAAGGAGACUGCCGGUGACAAACCGGAGGAAGGUGGGGACGACGUCAAGUCAUCAUGGCCCUUACGAGUAGGGCUACACACGUGCUACAAUGGCCGGUACAAAGGGUUGCCAACUCGCGAGAGUGAGCUAAUCCCGAAAAGCCGGUCUCAGUCCGGAUCGGAGUCUGCAACUCGACUCCGUGAAGUCGGAAUCGCUAGUAAUCGUGAAUCAGAAUGUCACGGUGAAUACGUUCCCGGGCCUUGUACACACCGCCCGU